rnacentral:rRNA from 1 species
AUGCAGUCGAGCGAGAACCAGUCCUUCACGGGGUGUUCCCAUUUCGGCGACCGUAGGUCGCCGGCUAUGUGAAUAUCGCGUGAAGGGCUGGGGACAGCGGCGAAAGGGAGAGUAACACGUAGUUACGUACCCCGAGGACCGGAAUAGCUGCGGGAAACUGCAGGUAAUGCCGGAUAAUGUCCUUGGACCAAAGGUGAGAUUCCACCUCGGGAGCGGACUGCGACGUACUAGCUAGUUGGUAGGGUAAUGGCCUACCAAGGCAAUGAUGCGUAGCGGGUGUGAGAGCAUGACCCGUCUCACUGGGACUGAGACACUGCCCAGACACCUACGGGUGGCUGCAGUCGAGAAUCUUCGGCAAUGAGCGCGAGCUUGACCGAGCGACGCCGCGUGCGGGAUGAAGGCCUUCGGGUUGUAAACCGCUUUCGGUUGGGAGGAAAUUGACUGGGGUUCUCCCCAGUUAUUGACCUAUCUUCGGAAGAAGGACGGGCUAAGUUCGUGCCAGCAGCCGCGGUAAUACGAACCGUCCAAACGUUAUUCGGAAUCAUUGGGCUUAAAGGGUAUGUAGGCGGCGCUGUUAGUCGGGUGUGAAAUCCCUCGGCUCAACCGAGGAAUUGCGCCCGAUACUGCAGUGCUUGAGGGAGACAGAGGUAAGCGGAACUGAUGGUGGAGCGGUGAAAUGCGUUGAUAUCAUCAGGAACACCGGUGGCGAAAGCGGCUUACUGGGGUCUCUUCUGACGCUGAAAUACGAAAGCUAGGGGAGCGAAGGGGAAUUAGAUACCCCCGUAGUCCUAGCUGUAAACGUUGAGCACUUGAUCGGGGAUCCCCUCAUAGGUUCUCGGUCGUACCGAAAGUGUCAAGUGCUCCCCCGGGGAAUAUGGUCCCAAGGCUGAAACUCAAAGGAAUUGACGGGGGCUCACAC